CUCCCGCGCGGCGCUGGCCGCCUCCAUGUGGGCCCGGCGGCCGCGGGUGGCACGGAAAUAAAACUCCCGGGCAAGGCCCGGCUCCCGCUCCGAGCGUGUCCCGUCCCGGCGGGGCGGGGCGGGGAGGGCCGGGCCGGGCAGGUGGGUGACUUGCCUGCAAAGCACCUAGGGGACCAGGAUAGGUGGAAGUGCCUUUUUGGCUGUAUCAAACAGGAUAAGAACGAGUUUGGCCGUAGCAGUGAGCUGUCGGAGUUUUGUUGCAGAACAUAACUUUGUAUCUGGCUUAAACUUGCACAGAAGGAAUUCUUACCGUUGUGACGAUAAUCAUCACUGCUGACGAUGCAGUUUUUAUGGUUUCUCUGAUCUCAAGAGCAUUCAAGCACUGAAGUAUCUGAUGGAUCCAGCCUCCUUCUGGUUUGAUCAUAAGGAAUAAAACAAGAGAAACCACUACUGAUGUGCUCUGGUCAGUUUGGAGCCCAUUUCCCACGCUGUUCCACAAAGACAGCAUCCAGAACAUACUGAACUUGAUGGAGUUCUGCAUAGCUGACGUCAACAAAGGAUGAGUGGGCCGAAGGAGGAAGCCCUGUGGAGAUAGAAUGGUCCUGUUUUGGCUCUGAAGAACUGAACAGAACAAAGUCAUAUGACUAGACCUUUGAAGGACACCAUGGCCAAAAAAGCAACUUUCUCCUGAGUAAGGGUUUAAAUAUUUAAAUAUAAAGGAACCUGAGUAUGCUAAUAAGAUUAUUGAAAUACGUGCUACCACAUAUAUGACUGUGUAACUUAAUCCUCCACCUAGAUUAUUCUACAUGUAAAGAAGGAGGAGGAGAAUGAGAUGGGGCUGUAUAUCAGCUGGAUAGAAUUUUCAUGUACUUAGUGAAAGACCCAAAAAUCUUGGAGUUGGUGGGUUACUUUCCUCUCUUUACAAGCAGGGAUUCCUGCUUGGUAAGCUUCUGCAUAGGAUUAUUGUUAUUACCCAGGCUAACACAAUAUUAUUGUUAUCAUUAGAGCUCAGUUGCAUCUAGUGCUGUUUAUCAACAGCAGUUCCAAGUCUGUGUUUCUGUUGUUUCAAUAAACCAAACUAUGUGUGCUAUGUUGUGAAUCUGGGACAGUGAAGGUUCUCACUGAGCACAGCUUGACCUGUAGUUUUGGAUUGGUAUAUUGCACUAUUUGUGAAUCUGUGAUUGUCAAAGUUCUUACUGAACACAACCAGACCUCUAGUGCCAAAUUGAUUAUAAUCAUAUAUCAAGCCCAGCCACAUUCAGACCCUCUGAUCUCUAAGGUCCAGCUGGAAUGCAGGGUGUGUUAUUUUCUGUCAAUCUCUAUACCCUUAACACAAUAGAUGAAUUAUCACUUUUAUGCUUAUAUUGAUCUACAUUGAAUGCUAACCUUGCUACUGACAGUGUUCUAGCUUUAUUUUGUUUCUUUAAUAAAUGAUUUUUUUCUGUGCA